AUGCUUACUGCAGGGGAGACACCAUAAUGACAAAAGGUGGUUUUCCCAGGGCGAGGCUCACCCAUUGCACUCCGGGUGUGCUGACCUGUGCAAUUCAAAUAUGGGAAAAUCAGCUGCAUAAUUUGCGAUAGUGGGGCACUGCAUUCACACUCUCCCCUA